CCCUACACUAUUCCUAAUCAU
rnacentral:siRNA from 1 species